rfam:Talaromyces cellulolyticus DNA, scaffold: scf_tce0_034, strain Y-94, whole genome shotgun sequence.
UUGCAUGAUGCGGUAAUUUGCGAUUGACCCAGUCUCUGUGAACCUCUCGCCGGAGGUUCGAUACAGAACUGUCGUGUGAUAUUCAAUUUCUUACAUAUUCUGAUU